rnacentral:rRNA from 1 species
GAUGAACGCUGGCGGCGUGCCUAAUACAUGCAAGUCGAGCGAACAGACGAGGAGCUUGCUCCUCUGACGUUAGCGGCGGACGGGUGAGUAACACGUGGAUAACCUACCUAUAAGACUGGGAUAACUUCGGGAAACCGGAGCUAAUACCGGAUAACAUGCUGAACCGCAUGGUUCAACAGUGAAAGACGGUCUUGCGGUCACUUAUAGAGGGAUCCCGGCCGCAUUAGCUAGUUGGUACGUUAACGGCUUACCAAGGCAACGAUGCGUAGCCGACCUGAGGGGGUGAUCGGCCACACUGGAACUUAGACACGGUCCAGACUCCUACGGGAGGCAGCAGUAGGGAAUCUUCCGCAAUGGGCGAAAGCCUUACGGAGCAACGCCGCGUGAGUGAAGAAGGUCUUCGGAUCGUAAAACUCUGUUAUUAGGGAAGAACAAAUGUGUAAGUAACUAUGCACGUCUUGACGGUACCUAAUCAGAAAGCCACGGCUAACUACGUG